rnacentral:rRNA from 1 species
CACAGGGAGCAAUGCCGGGUGGCGACCGGCGCACGGGUGAGUAACGCGUAUGCAACUUGCCUAUCAGAGGGGGAUAACCCGGCGAAAGUCGGACUAAUACCGCAUGAAGCAGGGGCCCCGCAUGGGGAUAUUUGCUAAAGAUUCAUCGCUGAUAGAUAGGCAUGCGUUCCAUUAGGCAGUUGGCGGGGUAACGGCCCACCAAACCGACGAUGGAUAGGGGUUCUGAGAGGAAGGUCCCCCACAUUGGUACUGAGACACGGACCAAACUCCUACGGGAGGCAGCAGUGAGGAAUAUUGGUCAAUGGGCGUAAGCCUGAACCAGCCAAGUCGCGUGAGGGAUGAAGGUUCUAUGGAUCGUAAACCUCUUUUAUAAGGGAAUAAAGUGCGGGACGUGUCCCGUUUUGUAUGUACCUUAUGAAUAAGGAUCGGCUAACUCCGUGCCAGCAGCCGCGGUAAUACGGAGGAUCCGAGCGUUAUCCGGAUUUAUUGGGUUUAAAGGGUGCGUAGGCGGCCUUUUAAGUCAGCGGUGAAAGUCUGUGGCUCAACCAUAGAAUUGCCGUUGAAACUGGGGGGCUUGAGUAUGUUUGAGGCAGGCGGAAUGCGUGGUGUAGCGGUGAAAUGCUUAGAUAUCACGCAGAACCCCGAUUGCGAAGGCAGCCUGCCAAGCCAUGACUGACGCUGAUGCACGAAAGCGUGGGGAUCAAACAGGAUUAGAUACCCUGGUAGUCCACGCAGUAAACGAUGAUCACUAGCUGUUUGCGAUACACAGUAAGCGGCACAGCGAAAGCGUUAAGUGAUCCACCU